AUCAUCAGAUGUUUCGAGGGUGUAAAAGAAAACAAAAGAGGAUUGGGGUUCUAAAAAGUUCUGCAAUCGACAGAACAAAAAUCUUCACUUGGUCAUCAACCGAGUAAUCCAGUCUUCAAUUGACAGGAUAACAAAAUUGUUGGAGGUCUUAUCAUGUCCGUAAGAGCUUGAAAAGGAAGGGAAUACACCAAACUAAAAACAGAGGUGGAAAAACAGAAGAAACCGAAGGAUUGAAAUGCAAAAACAAAGGUUAUAUUAUCAAUAGGAGAUGUCGUGUCCAAUCUCAUGUUCAUGUACGGCGAAUGAGAUUAUAAAAUAACAUAGGUUUCGAAUCUAAUGUGUGUCAGCACACCAAAGUUAACAUAUAACUAUGUUAUAUACAUAUUUAUAAGGAUCCCGCAAUUAUAUGUUUUAAGUCAGUCGGGUGGGAAUAAGAUAUGAUAAUCAUGAAUCUGGACCGCGGGUCUGGCCCGUAAAGGACUGUUGCGGAACGGUAUUGGGACGAGGUUUUCUAGGCUCCUAAAUGUACGGGCUUCGCGGGACGGGUUUUUGCGGGACUGGGCCUUUUGCGGGAUGGACCGAAACGGGUCAUGCGGGAUUAAUGAACCCGCAUUUUUUUCUUCAUUUCUUGUUUUACCUGAAAAACGAGAAAGAUAGUGAGAAGAAAACGAUUCUUGUGACUUUUCCCCCAGAAAACAUAAGGAGUUCCGGCGAUGAUGAUUCGAGCUCC